CACGACGCCCGGGUCAGGGCCUGGGCGCGGCUCGGAGCCGGGUCGUCGCUAUAGCAAUCGGGAACCGCUACCUGUCCAUUCCAAGGAUUCGGUCCAGCAGAAGCGUGAGGAGGUGGCGGAGGCCCCGAGGGCUUUGCGUCAUCACUUCUGCGGCCUGCGGGCUUCUUCCCGGCCGCGCGCUCAGCACUCACUGUCUUACGGUCCCGAAGCGCUUUAAGGUGCGCAGUCCGCAGGCCUUGCCUACUGAUCUUCCAGCCACCCCUUGAAGGAAGCAGUUGCAGGUAUUAAGAGCUCCUUAUUGAAAAGGACGAUGUAGAGGGGCGGUGAGGGACUCGCCUCCGCAGGGAGGGCGCCCUGGCGGUCUUCUCAGGUUCUCUCUCAUUCCCGCGUCAGCUCCACCGUCAGGCUCGAAACCGACUACUCCCUUUUGUAGGCUUGCUUUGGGUUGAACAUAAAAACCAAGCCCCUUUACUAUUUCCCUGCUGGGAGGGGCUGCGAUUGGGAAAUUUUCAGAAACCUGAGGGAAAAUUAAAAGGGAGCGAGCUUUCGGUAAAAAAUCAAAUUAAAAAGGAGGGGCGUUAGAGAAGGAACUGGUAAAGAUUGCCUUUUAGGAGAGGAACUGGGUGGCUGGAAGAAUGAGGUGAGAAACUUUCCCCUCUCUAUCCUUUCAGACUUUAACUGGUUUCUUUUGUAUCUUCCCCGCCCCGAAAACAAUUUAACUUAAUAAGAAUAAUUUUUAAAGGACGUAAACUAGACACAGUUACAAAGUACGGGGUUUGGGGCUUGUGGUAGCUAAAGGUGUCUUUGGGGAUGCGGGCAUCCUUUUCCUCUCCU
rnacentral:lncRNA from 10 species